rnacentral:rRNA from 1 species
AGUGAACGCUGGCGGUAGGCCUAACACAUGCAAGUCGAACGGCAGCACAGUAAGAGCUUGCUCUUACGGGUGGCGAGUGGCGGACGGGUGAGGAAUACAUCGGAAUCUACUUUUUCGUGGGGGAUAACGUAGGGAAACUUACGCUAAUACCGCAUACGACCUACGGGUGAAAGCAGGGGAUCUUCGGACCUUGCGCGAUUGAAUGAGCCGAUGUCGGAUUAGCUAGUUGGCGGGGUAAAGGCCCACCAAGGCGACGAUCCGUAGCUGGUCUGAGAGGAUGAUCAGCCACACUGGAACUGGGACACGGUCCAGACUCCUACGGGAGGCAGCAGUGGGGAAUAUUGGGCAAUGGGGGCAAACCUGGUCCAGCCAUACCGCGUGGGUGGAAGAGGCCUUCGGGUUGUAAAGCCCUUUUGUUGGGAAAAAAAAGCAGCAGGUUAAUACCCCGCUGUUCUGACGGUACCCAAAGAAUAAGCACCGGCUAACUUCGUG